ensembl:lncRNA
CCGAGGGUUAGUCCUGGAUAGCCGAUACCACCGUCAUCCACCAGCCGGCGACGGAGAGCACCGACCGAACCCCAAUCAGCGAGAUUGGGGGACACCUGGCCGAAAGCCGAGGAGCCAUGUUAAAAGGAGCAGGAGGACUGACAUUGGGGCAGACCAGGAACGGGAGGAGGAAGCGCUCGGGCCCACGGAGGCCCUAGAGACUGUCUAUCUUGGAUAUUUAACUGCAGUUCUGUGAGUAUCCCAACUUAACCAUGAAGAUGAACUGUAAACUGUAAGUCAUUAAUUUCUCAUUACUCUUGGGCACAUUGAUGUAUUUUGGCUUCCUGGUGGGUUAACCUGUUACCUGAAGGUUGAUCUGAGUAUUAAGGAUGUUUUAUUGGUUCAUGGGUUACUUAGGUGUUUGGUUUAUGUUGGUUUUAAUGAUUUGUUAAAAUGGUUACAGGCUCCAAGUUAUUGUUGUAAGAUGGAGUAAUGGGUUUGGUUCUGAUAUUUUUAGUCUUCUUUCAUUCUACUCUCCUGAGCUCUGCAUCUUCAUCACAUGAGUGUUGCUCUACUGAUGAGGUCGUGGUCUGAGUGAGCAGAGGUGCAUACUGGGAUACAGAGCUGUCUCGAGUCUACAGUUCUGUAGACACGCCCCCUCAGGGGAAACCGAGUGUUUGAGAAACUGUCGUGACGUCAGUUACAUGGACUGGAAUGUUCUUAAAGAUGGUGACAGGGAUUCAGAAGGAGAAACACCAGGGGGAGAUGAGGGGCUCCUCAUCUCAACGACUAAAACACAACUUCAGUCUGACACAGAGAAUCAUGGAACACAUUCAACAGUCCCCUCCAGGCAUCGUGACUCCUCAGGAACAGUUUCAUUUCCAAGAAGGUCUUAUUUGGGGCCAUCCCCAUAUGGAUCCUGCUCCUCAAGAGCCACCCCCCUCCACUGGGUGGUCUUCUGAACAGAUGACCUCCUUCCUGUCCUCAGGCUGACUAAAGCUGCACCGUUUGCAUCUGUGAAGGCCCCUCAUUCAGGAAACCACUGGACUACAAAGACAUGACUUCAGAGAUGUUGAAUCAACCUGGGACACAUUUUGGACACGCCAAGCAUAAUCCAUCACCAAUGUGGGACGCCACUGAAGAAUGCUGUACAUAAUUUGCGUCUCUAGAGACAUUGGUUGUUCUGUUCUGGGUGCCCUGGCAGGAGAGCUGGGGGGGGGAUGAUGGAAUGUAAUUUGCUAUGAGGUUUAUACCCUGCAUGAUUGUUUGGCCUUUUAUGGCUCAGUGGUGUGUGUGUUUGGGUUUGACAUGAGAUGGAAGAUUUUUGAGCAUCUUUAGGGUUCUACUGUGUGUCUCCCACUCACACCUGGCAUGGGGUUCUACGUGCCUGUCCUGGGUCCUAUGUGUGUGUGUGGCUUGCUUUGACAGUGAUGAUGUUCAUACAGGGGUCUGUGUGAUUGGCUUGGGAUAUUGGAAUGGUCAACUAAAUCAUACCUGAUGGACGGCCACACAUUUACUUAAGGGCCUCCAGUAGACAUGAAGAGCCCUGAGCGACGCUCCGGAGCGAGAUCCAACACACUGGGCAGGAAGGGGAGUAUCCAACUCAAGUGUAAAAGGAUGCAAGCGGCGUUUUCAGAUCAGUGACUUCAAACUAGGACUACACCAAUCGGGAUCAAUGGAGGAUGGACACCUAAAGGCAUUCCACAAGGAGAGUCUGACGUUGGAAAGGGACCUAAAUGGAUGUUCAAGAUGACCUUCAGACCUGUAAUGAGACGGCUCUUCCUACCUGGCUGGAUUGAUGGAGAGCCCUGUGGAUCUUGUCUUGCUCUCAGUUGCACUUCUUCUCAGGCUGAACUGUAAUUGUUUCGGACAGGACUAGCUGAACGAUUGGUUCCCUUAAAUCAGAACCAACCCGGGAACUCCAGCUAGUGCGCUCUUCGAGCUGAAGUUGUGCUCUUCAGCUGAGGAGGAAAGGAAACCUUCACUGGGGCUUCAAGGUGUAAAGAGGAGGAUGUUUCAAAGUGUUCCAUGGUACUCUGAUGAAGACCAUUGUUGUGUUCCACUGGCUGCGAGGAAGAACCCACACAUCUUCCUCUUGGCCUUUCUCCUCUGAGAAUCCUGGCACCAUCUUGAAGGAUAUUCCAGCUCAUGUAACUGAUGUCACGACAGAUUCUCCAGCACUUGUUUCUCCUGAGGGGUGUGUCUAUGGAACUGAAGACUUCAGACAGCACUGUAUCCCAGCAUGCAUCUCUGCUCACUCAGACCACACUCCCAUGAGUAGGAUACAACACUCUAGUGAUGGAGAUGUAGAGUUUUAUAAAUAACGAGGGAGCAGACUAAGGUGAUUGGAACACAAUGGAAUGUCAAGUCUGUACAUUUUUAAGCCAUGAAGAUGGUUGGAUAGUUCAGGAAUUGGGCUUUUUAUUAUGGGCAGUCCUUUCACUCAGAUGCCCACUUCUCACUGGAGCUGUACAUGUGUUGGCUGGCAUGAUUUGCUGUUGGUGAUGAGGCGGUCAGGGUGACGUUGCAGGGCUAUGGUCGGCUCUCUGUGAGCUCAACGUUUAGAUUUGCUCUGUAUGGUUUGUACCCUGAAUAAUCUAGAUAAUUGUAAAAUGUAGACACAGAUUUGUAUUGAAUGAUUCCCGGUUUUUAGGUUUAAGGUUGUUGUGGGACGUACAUGGUAGUUUGGUUCUUCGUAUGGUUUUGAUUUUGAGUGAUAUAACUUGUACACACUGGGUGCAUAAUAAUGUAAAGGUACACUGAAUAGUAUUAAUGACCAACGGCAACAAACAGAUCUCCUCAAGGUAAGUCUGUUGGCUGUGUUUUAAUGAAGACCAUCGCUGGAUUUCAGGAUCUUCCUCCGUUCAGCUCAAGGUGAGGCGCUGGUUCCGUUUUUCUUUGGUUGGUUCCGGCCGGAAUGUUCGUAUUCCAGUCGGACGGUUUGUGCUUCCCGCCGUGCAAGGUUCUGAGUGCGGUCACUUGAUUUAGUCCCAAUGGUUAGCAUAGAACGUUGUAGUCGGUUUCCAUUGGGAAUUGUUGCCCCCUAUCUUAAACAACUAAAGUUUGAUAUUAAAUACAUACUGAGGCGUACGUCGUACAAUAUGUUGAUAAUUUCCGAUGGUUGCGCCGUACUUUUAACCACGAUGACGUUGCGGGACUCUCACUGCGUACAAAACAGCGUUCUACUUGCGGGCCCAUUUUUGACAUCGGAAGGCUGAAAAUCAUUUCAAGGUGGAAGAUAAUUUGACAUUUCUUCAACGGAACCCAGCACCUGAAUAUGGCUGAGUAUAUUUUAUUUAAUAUCGAUAUCGCUUAGUGUUCUUUGUUACUUCAGCUUUUGUACGUUCUAAAUAUCUCAUUAAUUGCCACAGAAGUUAAACCCUACCCAAUGGAAUGACGUUAAACAACGACUUUGGUGCAGAGUUACCAACUGGAUAAUAUCAAAGCUCAAAAUAAUGGCCGUCAUUCCCACAUGUUACAGUAGAAGAUACUCUAGAACUGUACAAGGAUAAAAAGGUAACGUGUAGUUUGUCCCAAGGUGUCUGCCUCCUCACCCAGAGCAAGACCUCCACCUCCUCACCCAGAGCCAGACCUCCACCUCCUCACCCAGAGCCAGACCUCCACCUCCUCACCCAGAGCCAGACCUCCACCUCCGGUCAGAAGUCCUCCAGAACAGCUGAAAGGCGAGGCUGAGAGGCUGGGGACCGGAGGCUUGUGGUGCCAGGGUGGACCGGAGACUGAGGCUGGAGACCAGGGGCCUGCAGCACCGGACCAGAGGACCAGGAUUCCAUGGCUGAAGGCGCUGAUGGAGGAGCCGUGCUGAAGGCCCUGCCUGAUGGAGGAGUCGUGCUGAAGGCCCCGCCUGGUGGAGGAGUCGUGCUGAAGGCCCCGCCUGGUGGAGGAGCUGGUGGAUGCCCUGCCUGGUGGAGAACGUCUGUCGUGGGACCAGGACUCUGUCUGAGGAGAGCUGCUGGAGGACGACUAGGAAUCGACCAACCAGGAUUCCUCAACGUGUUUCUGGAGCGGAGGCGAGCUGCUAACGGAGCCGUGAAUCUGGAGGAUGACAUCACUCUACCAACCAGGGUUUCUUUAGGGCCAGACUCGCGCUGUUUGUUCCAGACCACGACUCGGGCUGAGGAGAGCUGAUGGAGGAGCCAAGACUCUGGAGGACGACAUCACUCCACCAACCAGGAUCCUCAGACAAAUUACGUUUGUAACCAGACCAGGAACCUGGAGGACUGAUGGAGAAGCUGUACAUCUGGAUGGCAAAUCCUGAGGACCACCAGAACUCUACCAUCAAGGAUUCCUCAUAAAUGUGCAUUAUCUGGACAUAGUGGACUAGACACACCUGAGCUGAACCUCACCUGAUCCUGUUUGGUCGGGGGUAGACGCACCUGAGCUAAACCCGCCCUGAUCCUGACAUCCUGCUGGUCCCGUCUCCUCAGUUCAUCUGAGCCUCGUCCUCCAGAAGACCUGCUGAGCUCAGCAGUCUGAGGCUGAUGAAUCAAUGACCUCCAGUGGGAGUGAUCUUCUUGACCCCACAUGUUACCGUGUGCUUUCACACGCCUUUCUCUCACGUCUGUCACUAACCUCACUACUUCACUACUCUCUACUGCUUCCUCUUUUCUUCCUUCUCUGUGGUUCGAACCUUUACACUGGAGGCGCGUCUUCCUGCCCUCAGAGGGUUUAGGGUUGAGUGUCAGGGUUUAGAGUCGGGGACAGAGCUGGUCAGGGAGGACUGCUUUUACAAAAACCUCUUCACUUGCUUUCGGAAUGGUGGUGACAUUUUGAAAAGAUUCAUUUGGGAAAAUGUUUUCCUCUGCUUUCCUUUACAAAAUUGUAUCAAACUUAUGUCAAGUGUUUUUGUUUAUAUAUUAAAAUCCCAUAUUGACUUCUACAUUUUUGUUGCGGUUCAUUUAAUUGUCCUUUGACUUGGUUAAUGUCAAGCUAAACUCCCGCAAUACAUUUAAUAUACAUGAUGGUUAUUCUGCAAUGUUCACAUAAUCCAUUUUGUAAAAAUAUGAAACCUCCAUAUUACUACUAAAUUCAAGCCUAUUCAUGUAUUUAACAAUGUACAUUCUGCCCCGCUAUGGAGGUAGAUUUGUGUCUUUAUUAUGCAAUCAAAAAAUAGAUUUGAGAGCAAAACUAUCAAC